rnacentral:rRNA from 1 species
CGUGCGGUUCUAUUUUGUUGGUUUCUAGGACCGCCGUAAUGAUUAAUAGGGACAGUCGGGGGCAUCAGUAUUCAAUUGUCAGAGGUGAAAUUCUUGGAUUUAUUGAAGACUAACUACUGCGAAAGCAUUUGCCAAGGAUGUUUUCAUUAAUCAGGAACGAAAGUUAGGGGAUCGAAGACGAUCAGAUACCGUCGUAGUCUUAACCAUAAACUAUGCCGACUAGGGAUCGGACGAUGUUAUUUUUUGACUCGUUCGGCACCUUACGAGAAAUCAAAGUGCUUGGGCUCCAGGGGGAGUAUGGUCGCAAGGCUGAAACUUAAAGAAAUUGACGGAAGGGCACCACCAGGGGUGGAGCCUGCGGCUUAAUUUGACUCAACACGGGGAAACUCA